AUUGAACGCUGGCGGAAUGCUUUACACAUGCAAGUCGAACGGUAGAGGGGGCAACCCCUCGAGAGUGGCGAACGGGUGAGUAAUAUAUCGGAACGUGCCCAGUCGUGGGGGAUAACGUAGCGAAAGUUACGCUAAUACCGCAUACGAUCUAAGGAUGAAAGCGGGGGAUCGCAAGACCUCGCGCGAUUGGAGCGGCCGAUAUCAGAUUAGGUAGUUGGUGGGGUAAAGGCUCACCAAGCCAACGAUCUGUAGCUGGUCUGAGAGGACGACCGGCCACACUGGAACGGGGACACGGUCCAGACUCCUACGGGAGGCAGCAGUGGGGAAUUUUGGGAAAUGGUCGCAAGGCUGAGCCAGCCAUUCCGCGGGCAGGAUGAAGGCCCUCGGGUUGUAAACUGGUUUUGUACGGAACGAAAAGGUCUCUCUUAAUACGGGGGACUCAUGACGGUACCGUAAGAAUAAGCACCGGCUAACUACGUGCCAGCCGCCGCGGUAAGAC
rnacentral:rRNA from 1 species